GGUCAGUUGAUAAAUGGCCUCUGAUGAUGCCAACUCUGUGAUGGUCUCACAUCAAAAUCCAGACUCUCUGUCAGGUGUAGCUCCAAGCUAGUGGUAUGAGUGGCCCAACUCAAUUUAAAACUCUGACUCACAAUGUAUUUAAGAAGUGUUUGAAGUCUCUCUUGUUUGUUCCCAAACUGUCUCUUUGAAAGUCGCUUUAGAUAAAAGCGUCUGCUAAGCAAAUAAAUAUAAACUCUUGAGUAACGAUGCAACAUGGCACUUCCCUUUUGUAUCCUAGGCAGACAACAGCCACACCUGUUGCUGCUCGGAUGCAUCUCAGACUAUCUAGCCAUAUACUCUCAUGAAAAAAGCACACUGGAAGAACUGUCCAAACCGGUCACGACCAGGUCUACCUCUAUGGAAACAAAUUCAGAUCUUUGAUUGACACUACCUACUUUUACAUGACAGGCUGCGGUCCGUUUUCGGUUUCUCUGUUUCUGCCUAGUCUGCCACUGCUCAGAUACAUUCCAAGUAGUAGUCACUCUGCAUCCCCCGUGCCAAACAUGUAAAUCUGCUGGGCUGGCGCUGUCCGCCGGGCACACUCAACCGCGCGUCUUUAUUUCAUGUAAUAAAAUACCUGGCGAUGAUUAAAUCAAAGCGUAAAAACAGCGACCGAGGCAGACCGACUAGAUCAGUGCGGAGUCGCCCUGUCACGAGUAAUACGAGGUCCCAUGAGGCAGGGGUGUGGAACGGAAAACGGCCGAGGAACGAGUAGGGUCCGAAAACGCCGACGUGGGGCAAGAAAGAUCAUGAAAACAACAACGGAUGGCAAAUGGACAAAACACAACAAGCAAAAUGACCAGAACCACCAGGCAGCUGUUUGGACAGGCUGGCAUAACCACCGUUUCACUCUCUUGUGCUGACUACUGAGGACUUGGUUGCCAACAGGAACAUCUAUCAGUACACAAAUGUGGCACUUAGUGCCAUGGCCCACCUGCCAA